CUAGGCUUCCUUGCGAUCAGACGGUAGCUCAUCUAAUCUUAAAUACUUGAGCAAAGGAUCAAUCAAACUGGAUUCCUCAUCAACUUGCUGGACAACAAGAAGCUCUUCAAGGCUCAAGAUUUUUAACACCUCGAAAUAGGUCCCUUUUUCUAAGUCAAUGGGUAAUAAGGCUGCUAAUUUUGACAGUGCAUCUGCCCUGGUGUUUUUUGCUCUAGAGAUCUGUUGAAUAUUAAAAUUUAAAAAGGAUAAGGUUAAAUCCUUUACCUUUUGAAGGUAUCUCUUCAUAUUUUUCUCUCGAACUUUAUAUCUAUCCUUGAUUUGUCCAACUACCAAUUGAGAGUCACUAAAGACCUUCAAG
rnacentral:lncRNA from 1 species